UACCUAUGCUUCACAAUUUUCUACUUCUUAAUCAAACCAAACUCUUUUAUAUAAUCAAAUUUUAAUUUCUUUAUCAAAAUAUUUGCAACAGGAGCGGUGUCUGCAGGAGCUCCUGCAGCAGGAGGGGCUCCAGCCUGGGGCCGGCUGCAGGAACCGAAGCUGCUGCUGCUUUCCCUCUCCCAGAGGCCACACUGAGGGCUCAGGUGUCCGUUGACUGCAUCUGGCUGAGGUGUGCCAGGUGGACUGUCUCUGGCUGUGUUCUCCUGGUGGCGGGUGGAUGCUUGCUGCCUUUGGCGAGGAGCUGCUGCGGCUGAAGCCAAAGAGAUCAGAAGAAGGUGAAGCAGCUGGAGAAUGAGGACGGCUGGCCCUCUGUCUCUCUCCAGCUGCAAGCAAGAGGGCAGACCUCUGCGGGGGAGGAGGGAUCCCUCUGCGUAGUCCUCGGCAGACCAGAUCACCAACGUGCACCGUGGGCUCUGUGGAGGACAGGCAAGUGACUGGAGCUGCAGAAGGGGAAGGCAGGAAAGGACACACAGACAGAGAAGGAAGUGCCAGAACUGUAAAGUUUGCCUGGUAAUGCAGAGAGUCAGCGCUCCGUCCAUGUUGAUCAAGAUGCUCAGUGGAAUCCUGUUCCUGAGGUUGGGGGGAAUCCCAGAGCUGUCCGUGGAGACAGGGGUUACUUGACUUCUCAACUUGAGCCUGUCCGUGAGCCUUGGGGCGAUCCCACAGAUGUGGCUGCAGGCGAUGGUUAUCCAGCUUCCUGGCUGGGUUUCAGGGCUGACCCACAGGCAGGUCGCAUGGAUGUGGCCAGACGGAGGGCUUUUCCAGCUCCUUGGCUGAAUCCUGGGCUGAAUCCCAGCUGGCAUCCCAGGGAGACCAACCGUAAGACUGUGCAGAAGGAGGCCUUUCAGAAGGGAAGCAGGCACACCGUGCCAGUCUCCGAUGAAGAAAGAGAGGCAAUGCAAGAGACUGGCAUGCCAGGGGCAGAUGCUGGGAGAAGGUCUGAGGCUGCUGGUCACGAAUUGCUGCACAAGUACUAUAUCCCAGUGACUGCAGUAGCCUUGGCUGUGGUGCUGUCUGGGCUAGUUGGAUCUUGCAUAGUCAUUUCACGGCUGAGGAAG